rnacentral:lncRNA from 1 species
CCCUAUUCUGCUCUGUGUCAGUGUGUAUCAUGGUCUCUGAGGACAGGUGUCAAUCCAUAUGUCAAGGUGUCAAUAUGUCAGGUGUCAAUCCAUAUCCAUUGUGAUUUAGGAAUGUUAGGUGAUUUCUGCCCUUUAUGGAUUAAAACCAGACUCUGCAUCAACUGUGUACUUUUCCAUGGGAGUUUUGCCAUGGAUCCCCCUCCGGCAUGCCACAGUCCAGGUGUUAGUCCCCUUGAAACAACUUUUCCAUCACUAUUGUGGCCAGAAAGAGUCCCUGUGUGUUUUAAAAUUCGCCUGCCC